UACGUAGGGUGCGAGCGUUGUCCGGAAUUAUUGGGCGUAAAGAGCUCGUAGGCGGUUUGUCGCGUCUGCCGUGAAAGUCCGGGGCUCAACUCCGGAUCUGCGGUGGGUACGGGCAGACUAGAGUGAUGUAGGGGAGACUGGAAUUCCUGGUGUAGCGGUGAAAUGCGCAGAUAUCAGGAGGAACACCGAUGGCGAAGGCAGGUCUCUGGGCCGAUACUGACGCUGAGGAGCGAAAGCGUGGGGAGCGAACGGG
rnacentral:rRNA from 1 species